ACUUGGCUUUGGCUGGAGGAGAGCGGACGCCUGAGAACUGCAUCCCAAUGCAGGGGUUCCUGCAGGAAGACCUGGGUUCCUGACCUGACUCGUAUCUGGUUUCUCACUUCUUACCACUUUGAUUCCCACCUUCAAUUAGAAGUGAGUCAUCUUGAUUUCUGUGCAACUCUUAUUUUUGGCGCUGAGUUUGUGGAUAUCUCCUGUGAACUAUGCCUAAAGUUGUGUCCAGGUCAGUUGUCUGCUCCUACACACGGGACAGGGAGGAAUAUGACGAUGGUGAGAAGCCACUCCAUGUCUACUACCGUUUGUGUGGCCAGAUGGUUCUGGUGCUGGACUGUCAGUUGGAGAAAUUGCCCAUGAGGCCCCGGGAUCAGUCCCGGGUGAUUGAUGCUGCCAAACACGCCCACAAGUUUUGUAACACAGAAGACCAGGAGACGAUGUAUCUUCGCAGGCCUGAAGGCAUUGAACGACAGUACAGGAAGAAGUGUGCAAAGUGUGGACUACCACUCUUCUACCAGACCCAGCCAAAGAAUGCUCCUGUGACCUUCAUAGUAGAUGGGGCAGUAGUCAAAUUUGGCCAGGGUUUUGGGAAAAUGAAUAUAUAUACUCAGAAGCGAGAGCCUCCUAAGAAGGUGAUGAUGACCAAACGGACUAAAGACAUGGGCAAGUUCAGCUCUGUCACUGUGUCUACCAUUGAUGAAGAGGAAGAGGAGAUUGAGGCUAGGGAAGUUGCCGACUCGUAUGCACAGAAUGCCAAAGUGAUUGAAAAACAGCUGGAGCGCAAAGGCAUGAGCAAAAGGUGGCUGCAAGAGCUGGCUGAACUGGAAGCCAACAAAGCAAAAAUGAAGGGGACUUUGAUUGACAACCAGUUCAAAUGAUCAGGACCUUUCUCUGAACCCAGACUAAAGGCAAGCAUUUAGACCAGGAGACAAAAGAACUUUUUCUGGACUGUAUGGACUGGUUCCUAUCUUUAUGCCCCAGCAGGCUGCUUUAUGUUGCUUCCUACAUUCAGUGAGGUCUUUGAGUCCAUCUGACCUGCUUUCUAAAGAUGGAUUUUUAAAAUAUAUGGGACUAAUGUAUUAUUUUUUGUCCAUUUGAUGUCAACUUCUUUAGUUGUGUAAAAACACUAUGAAUAGAUCAGUGCUUGAGUGUCUAGUUUCUAAAGUAGCUAGCUGUUCUUUAACAAAAUGUUUAAAGAUUUAUUUUUUUUUUAAAGUGAGUCAUCAGUUUUUUUCUGUUCAUUUUUCCUAUCCAUCUCUAUUCCAGGCUAUAUUCAUAGUAUGUUCUGAAGAAUGAUCAUUCUUUUUUAAAUAAAGUUUUUAUUCACCUUUGAAUAACGAAUGUUACAA